GAUGAACGCUAGCGACAGGCUUAACACAUGCAAGUCGAGGGGCAGCACGGUGUAGCAAUACAUUGGUGGCGACCGGCGCACGGGUGAGUAACGCGUAUGCAACCUACCUAUCAGAGGGGAAUAACCCGGCGAAAGUCGGACUAAUACCGCAUAAAACAGGGGUUCCACAUGGAAAUAUUUGAUAAAGAUUUAUCGCUGAUAGAUGGGCAUGCGUUCCAUUAGAUAGUUGGUGAGGUAACGGCUCACCAAGUCUACGAUGGAUAGGGGUUCUGAGAGGAAGGUCCCCCACACUGGUACUGAGACACGGACCAG
rnacentral:rRNA from 1 species